GGUAGAGCCGGGCCUCGCAUUCCCGGCUGGGUGGCUUCGCAGCCUGUGCCCUCCUGGCUCUGCCUCGCCGGCUCCCGGAGGGGUCAGGAGCACGAGGCUGGGCACCCACCUGAGGGAGGCUGCUCGUGCAUUACUGCCUCUGUUCCUCCCUCACCCCCCGACGUAGCUGCUGUUAUCGUUCUGUUCGAUAGAUAAAGAAAUUGAGGCACAGGGAGGGUAGGAAACUUGUGCAAAGUCACACAGCUAGAAAGUGGUGGAGAUGGGAUUUGAAUUUGUUCUUUUUCUUUUGAGAUUUAUUUUUUUACUUGGCAGAGAAAGAGAAAGAGAGAUUGAGGGAUCACAAGCAGGGCGUGGAGGCAGAGGGUGAGGGAGAAGCAGGCUUCCCGCUGAGAGGGAGCCAGGCAUGGGGCUUGAUCCCAGGACCCUGGGAUCAUGAGCUGGGCCGAAGGCACAUGCUUAACCGACUGAGCCCCCUGGGAGCCCCUGAACUUGUGUUCUUAGUCGCUGUAUCCUAUGGGCUCCUUGGGAGCCUGUGAGCAACCCUGAGGCAGGGUGGGUCUCUCACAUGACUCGAUGCCUCAGUGUCUCUCCCACCCAGGGCCUGACACAGAGAAGGGAUUCAUGAAAUGUUUUUGCUUUUUUUAAAAUAUGGAACGCUUCACGAAUUUGUGUGUCAUCCUUCUUUGCGCAGGGGCCAUGCUAAUCUCUGUAUCGUUUCAAUUUUAGUGUAAAGCCAGCGUGGAUUCAUGAAAUGUUUACUGAAGGAAUGGAAAGCCCAGCUUGGUGGGGUGCUCCUGCCUCUGGACUGGCCAGCUCCUCACUGUCUCACAAGGUGAGACAUUAUUAUUACUCUUACAAGUGUUUCCUGACCUGCCAGGCUCUAUCCUAGCCCUGGGGGUACAGUGGUGGAUGAGCCGGUCUCUGCUUCUGUGGAGGCAGGUGGGGUACAUGUGGGUUAGCUCAUAAUAAAGGGGUGCGGCAAGUGCAGAGAUGGGAGCACCCUGGGUGCUGCAAGAGGGCCAUCUGACCCAGCCUAGAAGGGGCAGCCAGGCAAGAGGACAGUGGGGAGAGGAUGGGCACAUCACAUGGAAGGGACGGCAUCAACGAAGGUCUGGGUUGGGACCACAGUGUGGCCCCAGAGCAUGGGGAACCACGCGAGACCUCUGCCAUCCCAGAGCUGUGGUGACCAUGGGAAUGUCCAUCGUUCGUUCUCAGAGCCUUCAGGAUGAGGCAUCACAGAGAUGGCUCAUAACCACCCGGUGACCUCCAGCAGAGACACGCCAGGAAGGCAGGAAGGGGCCGUGCAGCAGGAUCAUGUUCUGGACUAGAAAGUACGUCUGCUCAUUACCCGACCUUUGCUAAGUACACCAACUAAUGGAGCGAGAGACAUGAAAGAUCUUCACAGGCCAUGUGGAAAUGUAAUUCAAACCCAGCCCGAGGAGGUCACAGUAAGUUAGAUUAAUUUUCAUCCAGCCUUUCCUUACAGAGCUAACCUUUGCCUUACAGGAAAGUUCUUUAAAAAGAGAUAAGUCAGUGUUUGUUUGGCAUUUGAAGGCGUUUUAAUCCUAGCAACCCUGUUGGAAGUGUCCCCAUUCUGGGGGGACUCAGCCCAGGUUACUAUUUAUUGAUCCUUUACAUCAGAGAUAAUUGUCCUGGGUUUGAAAUCUAUCAAGUAUUGGAAAUUCAAAUUAAGC
rnacentral:lncRNA from 1 species